rnacentral:rRNA from 1 species
CCUACGAGUGGCUGCAGUGAGGAAUAUUGGUCAAUGGGCGCGAGCCUGAACCAGCCAAGUAGCGUGAAGGAUGACUGCCCUACGGGUUGUAAACUUCUUUUAUAAAGGAAUAAAGUGAGGCACGUGUGCCUUUUUGUAUGUACUUUAUGCAUAAGGAUCGGCUAACUCCGUGCCAGCAGCCGCGGUAAUACGGAGGAUCCGAGCGUUAUCCGGAUUUAUUGGGUUUAAAGGGAGCGGAGAUGGGUUGUUAAGUCAGUUGUGAAAGUUUGCGGCUCAACCGUAAAAUUGCAAUUGAUACUGGCAGUCUUGAGUAAAGUUGAGGUAGGCGGAAUUCGUGGUGUAGCGGUGAAAUGCUUAGAUAGCACGAAGAACGCCGAUUGCGAAGGCAGCUUACUAGCCUGCCACUGACAGUGAUGCUCGAAAGUGUGGGUAUCAAACAGGAUUAGAUACCCCGGUAGUC